rnacentral:rRNA from 1 species
CCUACGGGUGGCUGCAGUAAGGAAUAUUGGUCAAUGGACGAAAGUCUGAACCAGCCAUCCCGCGUGCAGGAUGAAAGCCCUAUGGGUUGUAAACUGCUUUUAGCAGAGAAGAAAAGCUUUCAUUAAUGAGAGUCUGACGGUAUCUGCAGAAUAAGCACCGGCUAACUCCGUGCCAGCAGCCGCGGUAAUACGGAGGGUGCGAGCGUUAUUCGGAAUUACUGGGGCGUAAGGGUGGGAUGGCGGAGGUGGAGAAAUCUUGUCGCUUAACGCUACAAUUGCCGAUGAUACUGGUACUCUUGAAUUGGGUUGAGGUUAGCGGAAUGUGACAUGUAGCGGUGAAAUGCAUAGAUAUGUCAUGGAACACCAAUUGCGAAGGCAGCUAACUGGGCCUUGAUUGACGCUGAGGCACGAAAGCGUGGGUAGCGAACAGGAUUAGAUACCCCAGUAGUC